rnacentral:lncRNA from 1 species
UCUUCUCUACCAUCUUGUAAAACUUCUUUUGCAUUAUUAAAUUUUAGGCAUGUUGCGUGUCCAGAAUCUUUCCUUUCUCUUGAAACAAAAUUACUACUGUUUAACCACAGAGACGGCCUUCUAUGCCUUGAAAAGACUGCAAACCAAGAAGAGAAAAAUAGUUGAUCGUCGCGCCUCAAAGAGUCGAAAGAUAAGGUAGGUUUUCAAAUGUGAUUGGAUUGGCACCUUGUAUUUUUAUGGAGUCACGUUAAUCCGGUGCAUUUCUUAACGUUGGAGAGUUUGUGUUUAUUAACAUUCUUGUAGGUACCAUGUUCACGAGAAGAUAGUCAACUUCAUGGCACCGGAGCCCAUGAAGCUUCCUCCCAUGGCUCCAAAAUUAUUCGAGAAUUUGUUUGGAUUGAAAACCCAAUAACCUAAUGCUGAAAUCUGAUUUACUUUUUACCAAGCCUUUGGAAUUUUGUAAUUUUAAUUUAUGCUAUAUUAAAUUGUUUUAUAUAGGUCUGAUGUGACAGAGAAAAACAGAUGUGUUGCCAUAAUGAAAUAGAAGUUUGAUAAUUGGUCGGUACGCACAAGACUAAUAUGAAUUUCAUCAUUUAGUUUAUAAAACUUGAAAAUUUUAAUUCCUUUUAUUCUUCAUGGAAAAAACAUAUUCAUAUAUAUGAAGACCAAAAUGUGAUAAAUGAAAGGAAUUAAAAAUUUCAAGUUUGAUCAGUUAAGUUGGUUAGUUUUUAUAUAUUAAACCAAUUUAACAGUAGUUAACUUGAUCAUAAUCUGCCCAAAAUGUGAUAUGGGCUGUAACUGUGGGCGAUUUAUACACACACAGAAUAUAAGGGGUUUUAAUGAAUCAAUAUUGGGUUUAUAACACUGUUGGUUGAUUCUAGGAAUAGACUUUAAUACGGUAUGUAUGCACUAAAGUCCAAGGUGUUAAAACAAAUAACUUAGAUAAAAAUAAUGAGAUUCAUUUUGUAGCGACAUAAAAAUUUCUCUUUCGGUCGCUAAUUGAGGCGAUUAUUUGAAAAUUUAAAAAUCGACUCGAUUUUAUUAAAAAAAAGAGUUGUCACCGAUCUUUUUUCUAGGUGUGACCGGACACCUAAUAAAUCAUCCUUUUUUAGAAAAGAAAACUUAUUCUUGCACAAAAAUGAAGGCCGAAUUUAGGUCUACAUCAAAAGCCAGAGUAACGUUGGGUUCGGGAGUCGGUUACGCACGAGGAAGGUAUUAGCACCCUCGCGACGCCCAAAAUUGGUAUCUUAUUAAACAUGUGUUGUCUUGAUUUUCAAAAAUACGAAUUCAAUUUGACAUUUAAGUGUGAUCCGAUUGAAGGAAAUGAGAAGUUGUAAGUUUUUGGUUUUUUAGAAGAAUAUCCCAUUUUUAACACGAGCCGACUAACUUCACCCAACAUAGCGAUGAAAUCAAUGACUUAAUGUUAAAAUCGGUACAUUGCCUUAUUCUUAAAAUUAAAAUGUAAAAAGUUUUUAAAAUGAUAGUAAAAAAAAUCUAAGAAUAUUAUUGUAAAAAAUGCGAAUAGUGAUGUGAAUAAUAUAAAAUAUUAAAAUAUCAAAAUAUUAGAAUAAUAAUAAUUAAUAUUGACAAAUAAAAAAAUAAAAUAGAAAUAAAAGGUGUACAUAAUAUAUAUAUUAGAAAUAACAAUGAUGUUUAAAAAUAAUACUAUUAAUAAUACUACAUAAAUAUGUACAUAUAUAAAAAAUAAAUACGUGAUAAUAUUAAAAAUAUGUACAUAAUAUAGUGUAAAAAAUACAUACAUAAUAUAAUUAAAAUAUAUACAUAAGAUAACAUGUAAAAAUAUAUAUAUAAAUAAUAUAGUAUUAAAGAUAUAUACAUAAAAUAGUAUAAUAUAUAUACGUAAUAUAGAAUUUAGAAUAUACCUAAUAUAUUAAAAGAAUAUAUAUAAUAUAAUAUUAAGAAAUAUAAUAAUAACAAAAAAAAGAGAGAGGGAGAGAGUGGGUGAUUUCCGGCCACAAGGCCGGCCACCGUCCGGUCACCGGACUGCCGCCUGCCGCCAUCGGCGCCACCGUACACGACAGCCGGACCUCAAAAAAAACUUUUUCGGUAAAAAUGGAUAAGCUUCCUCCUUUUAUUUUUACUUUCAGAUAAAAGAAACAAAAUAAGAUUGAAAGAAAAAAUGAUAAGCAAACAAAGAACUUAAAACGAGAAUAGACGAAGAAACCUCUUUUGCUUUGAUCUUUGAUUAAUCUCCAAAAAAACUACUCUCUCCAAAAACUAGCAUUUACAAUAACUCUUCUCCUUGAUUACUCUAAAAAAACCUCUCAAAAAUCCUUUACAAUAACUUUCUCCCCUAAAAC